UACGUAGGGGGCUAGCGUUGUCCGGAAUUAUUGGGCGUAAAGAGCUCGUAGGCGGUUUGUCGCGUCUGCUGUGAAAACCUAAGGCUCAACCUUGGGCUUGCAGUGGGUACGGGCAGACUAGAGUGCGGUAGGGGUGACUGGAAUUCCUGGUGUAGCGGUGGAAUGCGCAGAUAUCAGGAGGAACACCGAUGGCGAAGGCAGGUCACUGGGCCGCAACUGACGCGUGAGGAGCGAAGGU
rnacentral:rRNA from 1 species